AGCAAGCCAAGCACGGGGCUUGCGGCAUGGCUUGCCUCGCGAGAAACCCCAUGAGCAUGUGGAAGAGCAAAAGGGCCAGAUGGGGAGUAGACGCUUAUCGAGGUGAGACACCCCGCGCGUGAAGAGGGCAACAGGUCAAGCAAAGCAGAGGCCAGCGCAAGGCCACAAGAGCAAGUGCACAAAUGCAAGAGCUGACGCGUAGAAUGCCUCGCCACAUCGCAUGCGACGUGAGAGCCAAUACAAGGACGGCCUCGGUGUGGAAUUCUUUUGGGCAAUGCACAUCGAGGGCUCUUGGCCCUCUUUGCAUGCAAGAGCAGCAGAAAGAGCUUUUAUGCCUAUAGAUAUAUAUAGGCACGAGGGGAGAGAAAAAUACAAGGAGAAAUUUGGACAUUUUUGGGAUUCUAGAGGAAGGAAGAGCCCCUCUUUCAUCAAUACUCUCAAGAAUCCGUAAAAAAUCCAAGAAUCUCUAGAAGAUUCAAACUAGGACUCAAAAGCAAAAAAGAUAUUGAUACUCAGGACGACGCAACCUUCACUGGACACCUCCCUCAUCCUACAGUCUUUUGGUGAGCUGCAAUACAUGUUUAGGGCCUUUUUUUUAUUAGAUUAGUAUUCUUUUUUGGUAUAAUUGGAGCCUUGUUACCAACAUUUCUUUUAUCGACAUUAUCGUAAAGGCUAUUGUUGAAGUCUCUGUGAUUUGUACCUUCGCUUUGUAGUUCACGCUCCGUGAUUUGUACUUUGUGGUCCAGGGUUCCUGACGGAUACUUUUCAGUAAAAUGGUCAUAACUUAACGGUUUGAAGCGUAUAAACUAGACCUCAA